CUAGCGGCAGGCUUAACACAUGCAAGUCAGGGGGCAGCGGGAUGUAGCAAUACAUUGCCGGCGACCGGCGGAUGGGUGCGUAACGCGUAUGCAACCUACCUUAUACAGGGGAAUAACCUUUCGAAAGGGAGACUAACACCCCAUAGUAUUGAUUUAAGGCAUCUUAGAUUAAUUAAAUAUUUAUAGGUAUAAGAUGGGCAUGCGUAUGAUUAGCUAGUUGGUAAGGUAACGGCUUACCAAGGCGACGAUCAUUAGGGGUUCUGAGAGGAAGGUCCCCCACACUGGUACUGAGACACGGACCAGACUCCUACGGGAGGCAGCAGUGAGGAAUAUUGGUCAAUGGGCGCAAGCCUGAACCAGCCAUGCCGCGUGCAGGAAGACGGCCUUAUGGGUUGUAAACUGCUUUUACAUAAGACUAACCGUAUAUUUGCGAAUAUACCUGAAUGUAUUAUGAGAAUAAGGAUCGGCUAACUCCGUGCCAGCCGCGGC
rnacentral:rRNA from 1 species